AAAAAAAAAAAAAAAUUCUUCGAUCAAUCUUAUCUUGCCGUUGAGAGGAGACAGAGAUUUCUAAAACUCAAUGGCCGGUGAUGUCUAUAUAUUUACGGGAGCUAACGACAAUUAUGACGUUUCUCUAAGCUUUAAUUAUACGCAAAGGAACUGUCUUGAUCUCCCUGGUCAAGCCAUGUCCUGCUAUAGCCCUAAGUAGAAAUGAUCUCAAGAAAUUCACAAAAUCUUCCAAAGAACCUAGGGUCCAGAUUUUCAAAAGCGAGACUGUUAACAAUACAGGGAGGGGCUCCUUUUGUUGCUUCAUUUUCUUCUUGAGGACCUAGUAGAUUUUUGCAUGAUUUAAUAAAGCCGGAUGUAAUAGCCCCGGGUGUGGAAAUUCUAGCGGCUUUUUCACCAAUAGCCACAGCAUCUGAAGUUUCAUGGGAUAAGAACACUGCGAAAUUUAGCAUCCUAUCAGGGACAUCAGUGGCUUGCCCCCAUGUGGCAGCUGCAGCGGCUUUCGUAAAGUCUUUUCAUCCCAAGUGAUCUCCUUCCGCAAUCAAAUCAGCUCUAAUGACUACAGCGUUGGAGUUAAAGGCUUCCCGAUACUCAGAAGCAGAAUUUGCACAUGGAGUUAAAGGCCAUAGAUUCAGGACUUGUUCAUGAAAAUUCUGUCCAAGAGAAUUUUAAGAUAUGGUGCAACAUAUCUCAAACCCCAGAAAGUAUGAUCAACAAAAAUGCGAGUUGCCCUAUGACGUUGGCUACCAAAGAGAUAAAUUAC
rnacentral:lncRNA from 1 species